rnacentral:lncRNA from 10 species
CAGCGACUUGGAUACCGCGUCACAAAGAACAUGCAAACAUGAGGAAAGUGAGAGCCCAGAACGCCUAGAAUUUACCUCAGUCCCUGGCUGAGGGACAGGAAGCUUUGAAGUGACAGAUGAAGCUAGGGACCCAGAUCCUGGGAUAGGGCAGGCCCAGCAAGGGCCUGAGGGACCCACUGUCUUCCGUCUGGCCAACAAAUUUAGGACAAGCCUCCCUCCCCAUGCUGCAGUGGAGGAAACGGAAGCUUUAGGAAGAGAAGUGCCUUCUACAAGCUCCACGGCUGGAAAAUGGGCAAAGUCAGGACUCAAACCCUGGUGACUCCAGGGCCCCAGGCCUGGGAAAAAGGGUGGCGUGACCCUGUGAACUUCAGCUCUAUUGCCCACGAACAUGGUGGACCAUAAAGAAAACCACCCACGGUGGUUGCUGCCUGCAACACAUCCCGAUGUGCCUGCCCUGAUCCUGGGUCUCCCCAGGGACCCCACAAUCACAGGACACACACAUGGGAGAAGGUCUCACAAGAUAAAGAGAUUUAUCCACUUGAAGAUGUUUGUUUCUCCACAACCAGGAGCUGUUUCCAAGUGAGUCCAGGGAUGCGAAUGGAUGAGGAAGGGGACUCACAGGACAGCGUUUGUGGGGGUGGAGAGGUUUCUUUAUUAGCCAAAAGUAGGUCAUUCCUGAGUCAGAGGACUAUUCCAAUUAAACCGAGAGUAACGGAGAAGGAAAGGACAUUCCUUUGAGAACAAUCAGAUCGGAAAACAAACUGGUUUGUUAUGUCAAAGGGAGAAAAGGAGCAACAAAAAAAAUGAUUAGAAAAGAAAGCCGGAAAUAAUCUCUCUGCCCCAACUCUCAGUCGUGCACAUUUCUGUAAAUCUGAAAGCUUGGAUUGGCAUCCUGGCCAUGCCAGUUCACAGAUAUGUGACCAUGGGCAAGUUUUUUUUCACCUCCUUGAGCCUCAGUUUGCUCCUCAGUAAUUUGGGGAUAACAGCGUCUGUUUUCAGGGUUAUUGUGGGUUUGUUUGUUUGUUUGUUUGAGUCAGAGUCUUGCUCUGUCACCCAGGCUGGAGUGCAGUGGCAUGAUCUUGGCUCACUGCAGCCUCCGUCACCUGGGUUCAAGCGAUUCUCCUGCCUCAGCCUCCGGUGUAGCUGGGACUACAAGUGUGCACCACCAUGCCUGGGUAAUUUUUUUGUAUUUUCAGUAGAGACAGGGUUUCAUUAUGUUGGCCAGGCCGGUCUCGAACUCCUGACCUCAUGUGAUCCACCCGCCUUGGCCUCCCAAAGUGCCAAGAUUACAGGCAUGAGCCACUGUGCCUGGCUGUAUUGUGGGCUGUUAUUAAAUAAGGUAACAGACAUAGAGUGUUGGGCCUGGCUCCUGCCGCACUCCAGGUGCUUGAUGCGGUUGAUGAAAUAAAGUCAGACAGAGGCCCGGCAAUCACACUCCUUGUGUUUACCCAAAUGACUUGAAAACUUAUGUGCACACAAAAACCUGCACACAAAUAUUUAUAGCAGCUUCAUUUAUAAUUGGCAAGAUGUGGGAAGAACCAAGAUGUCCUUCAAUAGGUGAGUGGAUAAACAAACUGUGGCCCAUCCAGACAAUGGAAUAUUAUCCCGUAAUGAAAAGAAACAGACUGUAGGAAUGAGGAGUUAUGGUUUAAUGGUUAUGGAUUUCGGUUUGGGUGAUGGAUGGUGGCACGACAAUUUGAAUGUACUUCAUGCCACUUCAAAAUGGUUAAAAUGAAGCCGGGUGUGGUGGCUCACGCCUGUAAUCCCAGCACUUUGGGAGGCCGAGGCAAGUGGAUCACUUGAGGUCAGGAGUUUGAGAGCAGCCUGGCUAACAUGGUGAAACCCCGUCUCUAUUAAAAAUACAAAAAUUAGCUGGGCAUGGAGGUGGGCACCUGUAAUCCCAGCUACUUGGCAGGAGAAUCAUUUGAACCUGGUAGGCAGAUUUUGCAGUGAGUCGAGAUCACGCCAUUGCACUCCAGCCUGGGCCACAGAGUUAGACUCUGUCUCAGUGAAAAAUUUUGUGUUUUGUAUAUUUUACCACAAUAAAAAAAAGAAGUGAACUAUUAAGUCAUGAAAGAGCAUGGAGGAGCUUUAAAUGCAUAUUACUGGGUGAAAGAAGCCAGUCUGAUUAGGCAACAUACUGUAUGAUUCCAACUAUAUGGCACUCUGGAAAAGGCAAAACUAUUAAAACAGUAAGAAAAAAAAAAAGACCGGUGAUUGCCAGAAGCUGG